AAAAAAUGCAAGGAAGAAAAAUAUUGGAUGCCACAUGAAAGAAAUAUAUUUCCAACCAUCAAGAAAAAUCAAUUUAAACAUAUCUGUAAGAAAUCUGAGAAAUGAUUUAAGAAGACAGUCUUAUUACAAAGCUUUUAUACCUCAGACAAUAGAGAAACUGAAUCCUCCAGUUAACGUCUCAAUUUCUCUUGAAAACAGAAGUGUUAAAAUUCACUGGAAACCCCCGCCUACUAUUGGUUCUGCAAGUAACAAGUGCUUUAUGUAUCAAGUGAAAAUUACAGAUCGUAAGCCCAUAGAUGUCUCUGAAGAGAAAUAUGAGUAUCCAUUCCAUAAGCCACCAUACAAAUGUGUGGCACAAGUGAGGGCAAAGAAAGAGAAAUGCAUAAGAAACAAAAUUUGGAGUGAAUGGAGUGAACCAGUGUUUAUUGAUGAUGAAAAGACAGUGGACAUCACGUUGCUCGUCCUCACCUUGUUUUGUCUCCUGGUUUUCCUUGGUUGUUUGCUGACAUGUGCAUGUCGAAGGUACAGAUGCCUGGAAGCUAUAACCAUGCCUGUCCCACAGGCCUCAGAUAGUAUCAAAACUUGGUUAGCUGCAGAAGAGACUCACCACCAG
rnacentral:lncRNA from 1 species